GGCACUGCCGACAAAGUUGGUUCUUUAUUCUAUGCUGCCGAGGAGGACGUAUGAGGAGUAUGAGGACGUGUUGUAGGCGUUUAUCCCUAGGCGUGCCGGCAUUGCGUAGUGGGGUCAAGUUUGUUUACUCUCGGACGCUGGCGGCCGGCGCUGUCAAAUAGGUGAAGCAGCGGGCACUGCCGCCCGAUUUGGCGACCGCUGUGUCGGACAGACUAUCUCGCACCUGCGGCGCUCGUGCUCAGUCGUGGCGGAUCAUAGCUUUCUCGUGUCUUACGGCGAUGUACAGCCACGUGCAAAAGGACCUGCAACACGGGUGUCCGUGGUCGAAGGGGCUAAAAGAAGGCUGCGCAGACAUAGGGUGAGGUCCAGACCUAAACACAGCUUCAAUCAGUGGUAUUUAUUAAACCACAUUUCGAACGUUAGAGCCGCCGCGCAGCACUGUAGGACCUUCGACUACUAACAAGUGUUGCAAGUCAUAUUGCACGCGACUGUACCUUGUAAAUAACAUCGCAGAUGUUUCUGUGGGAGGAGCAGUAGCGACCGUAGAAGAGCCCGGGCCGCAUAUAUUGACAAUCUAGAUGGCAGAGCGCCUAGCUUAGCAACCGCAGGUGAGCGCAAGUGGCUGAAAGGCCGCCGGUGACGAUGACCGACCGAUUCAGCACGAGCGCCGCAGGCGCGAUAAAGUCUGCCCGACGUACCUUCAGAGGUAAAGUUCCGACUUUUGUUGCAGAAGUCGCGGGGUGCGGUAGUGCUGACCUUAGCGUCGCAAGUUGGCGGCUGGACGUAAUUAUAUUUAUGCAAUAGUGUUUUUUACUAAUUGUAACAACGUGUCAUUAUUUCGCGUUAUUAGCGGUGCCUCCAGGACACCAAAGCGGCAACGGGGACAACAAAGCUAGAACCUGAACUGGUCCGUAGGUUGGAGUUCGCCGAGGCCUGCGCGUGCCAGGGGUUAAGGAACACCAUAUGGGAACACCCUCUGGCACGCUUCGGCCUCCGCGGCUCCAACCCACGGGCCGCCCUGCUUUCAGCUUUGAUCCCCCCGCUACCCCUUCGGUGCCCUGGAGAUCCUGCGCCGCCUGCUUCAUUAUAACCUCAGGUGCUCUCCUGGGGCAUCCGUUUACCGGUUACCUGUGCCCUCCUAGAGCAGUGCUUGUAAAAAAUCCAAUCUAUCGUCGCAACGGCAAAAGCGACCCGCGACUUAUACAACACCAGUCAGAACAUUGCCCCUUCAGACACAGCGAUCACCAAGGGGCGUCUGCGCCCACUGCCUCGCCCUGCAGUGUCUCACCCUGUAUCAGCCUGCAGUGUCGCAGCUGCCCGGGCAGCCACCGACACUGCAGGCUGAGGCUACGAAAUACAGGUGGUGAUGCACCUUGAAGUUGCCGCACAAACUCGCCUAAACGUCAUUGAUUUUGAUGGCGUCUCUGCUCGUGCCUAGUAAUUCUUUAUCGGCAAAGAUGAACUCAUAUCAGUGCUGCCAAGUGUGGCGAGUCUACCUUGCUAAUUGGGAGAUCGUGAGAAGCAUCGCGUCGGUGACAUGUGGGUGCGAUUCAGAGCAGCCGCCGCAGACAGACCUCUCAGAUGACGCGUGCUACUCUGGCGUCAUCUUGUAGCCAUCGUCACCACAGCUGGCUUCUGGGAUUCGUUUACUAGGCGACACAUUCGUCCCAGCUUUUCCGGUGCUGAAAACACAACAUGCACCCCGCACCUGUCGCCAACCUUGAAGAAAGCGCAAGUGCGAUAGCAAGUUGCACCAGAGCAAGUUACCCGCAUCGGAAUAACCAUAAAUAAUGGAGUUCCACAGAUGCAACUUGUCCAAACAAGAUCAACAUGCUGUUCUAAGUUCUUCAGUGCAGAAGGUUGUCAACCAACUGAAGUGUUUCAUCAAAUGAAACAAGUGUAUGGCAAUGCUUGCAUUUAGGAAACAAGAGCAUAUGGAGGGGAAGAAUAUUUAGGGAAAUACAUGAAUGAACAAGUGAUUAUUAUUGUCCUGCUCAAGUUCAGGUUGUUUCCACAGAGGACAAUUGUUAAAGGAGAAUGAGGCUAUUUGUGCGGAUAGAUACCGCAGCAUUCAGUGUAUCACAGAUAAAUUCAACAUGAGUUGCAGGACUGCACAGAAGAUUGUGAAAGGUCUCGGGUAUCACAAAGUGUACGCACAGCGGAUUUCCAGUACGUUGACAGAGAGACAUAAGUUCGAGUGUAUGGUGUGCGUCCUUGAACAUUUGCAAUGGUACCACUUGGAGGGAAAUGACAUUUUUCUUGAGUAUUGUUUAUAUGGAUGAACACUGGCAUCACCAUUUUGAACCAAGUGCAAACUCUUCCAGUAUGCAAUGGAAACACCCUUCAUAUCUCCAUGCCACAUGAAAUUCAAGUCACAAGCUUUUGCAGGGAAAGCCAGAGUUUCAAUAUUGUUCAACUACCAUGGAUUAAUGAUAGACUUCAAGAAACCAGGAGAAUCCAUUAAUGCCGAACGCUGCUGUGCAAGUCUGACCUAUCUUCGGACAUCCAUAAAAACAAGAGACCUGGAUUACUGACUUCUGUGGAGAAAAGUACAAAAAAGAGCAUGAAGAUGGGCAUGCCUCGCAGAAGGCAAUCGACUCUUCCACAAUAGCAAGAACAGAACGCCUGUGGUGUCCAUUCAGCGUCUGCUCCAGUCCACCUUCUACUUGCGCCAUCACCGUGGUGCGUCCACUGCGGGCACUAUAUGAAGCUCUCCCAUAGCAUUACACUGAAGUUUCAUGACCAGAUGAAAAGUAUUGAAGGACCAUGAGUGCCUGAAUUCAUGACCAUGGAGGAGGUCACUUAUGGACAAUAAUUACCAGCCGUUGAUUAGCCAUCGAGUUCCUGCGUCGAGACAUUUGCAAGGGACCGGAUGUGUUUUGGGUUUCAAGAAGUCGAGCAAUAUGAUGCAAAUGUUCUCGAAGUGGGGUUCAUCAGUUUCGAGAUCAACAGCUGCUUAAACAUCCCAUGGCAGCAAUAAACGGCACAUUCGCAAGAGAGAGACCCAAAUAAUGCAUUUUACAAUCGCAUUGCAGCGCAAAAGGCCAACAUUUGUAAGAUGCUCAUUGAUGGAAACCA